CUUUCUUACUUUCUGAUUACGGGGCCGCUUUCUUACCCGCUAGGCCAACUACACUCUUCAUACUACACAUUUCUACACAUCUCUAUUCAUCACAGUACCACGUAUCACCGGCCGGGCGCCGCUAAACGUCACCUGUGUCAGGUGACGUCACCCGCGCCCGGUAACGGUGAUACAGCGGGCGAUCCCGGGCAGUAGGCGGAUGGAACCAGCGGGAGGGACACGGUGUGCUCUCCCAGCAUGCAGCAGGAGCUGUGGCUGCAGGCCAGGACUCAGGUGCUCUUCCCCCUCAAGCUGGCCUGCGCCAUGAGAGCAGCGGGCGCCCAUCCCGCCCGGAGCCCCGAGUUCGGAGCGGCCAACGGGCCGAUGGCGAGCGGCGGGGACCCGCCCGCCUCUCCCAGGCAGCCCCGUCCGAGGUCCAGGACGUCCAGCAGCACCGUAAACAACAGUCACACGUACAGUCACCUUCUCAGAGAAAGCCCAGGCAGACCCGAGGCCAGCAGCGACGGCGCGGCAGAGGGCCCGCGCUUCAGCCCGGCGAAGGCCUCCAGGAGCCACCAGGAGCUGCACAAGGAGCUGCUGCUGGCCCAUAAAAAGUAAGAGCAGCGCAGGUGACCCGCGGCGUGGACCUCUCGCUUCCUUCUAAUCAACCGACAGCUAAUGAGGCCGAAUGAACAGAGACGGGUCACGAUGGAACCAGUUAUAACUCU
rnacentral:lncRNA from 1 species